CCGCGCUGGCCUCGCCCGUGAGGAGAAGGCGCUCGCGGAGGAGGGGGGAGCGGCUUUAUUCGCUGCUGAACGGCAAGCAAGACCCAGAGGCGGAAGCGGAGGAUGAUAAGGAUGAUGAUGUUCCAAGUUUCGAGCCAUCUUCCUGUCUGGCUCGCCUCUUCAGUAAACUGCAACCUUCUUUCUAAAGCAGUUGCCAUGUUGUUUAUUCCCAGCUUGGACUGAACCAUGAUGAAGACUUUUCCUUCAACAAAGUAAAAUUCAGGAGUAUUUGGUGGGCCAAGUUCUGAUAAAACCACAGAACCUAGCUUGAUUCUAAGAUUUCGUUUGACUGAAAAUGUGUUGGUGCCAAGACCAAAUAACUCAAAGUACAUCAGAUCAACAGACGUAACUUCCCUACAUGGAUUUUUUUUUAAUGGAAAUAUAAGGUCUUGCUGAGAAGUAAAAAGGAGCAAGUCACAGUUGUGGAAAAUAGCCAAAUAAAUCUGGCAGUUGGACAUUGCUACCACA